UCAGUUAUUUUUUAGUAGACUCUGCUGGCAAGGUGGUGACAAACCAGGAAGGAGUUUUCCGCAGCAACUGUAUGGAUUGUCUAGACAGAACGAAUGUGAUACAGAGUUUAUUAGCUCGGCGUUCCCUUCAGGCACAGCUGCAGAGACUAGGAGUUUUGCAUGUGGGACAAAAGCUUGAAGAACAAGAUGAGUUUGAGAAGAUUUACAAAAAUGCCUGGGCCGAUAAUGCUAAUGCUUGUGCCAAACAGUAUGCAGGAACCGGUGCCUUGAAGACUGACUUUACAAGAACUGGAAAAAGAACUCAGUUGGGACUGGUAAUGGAUGGCUUCAACUCAUUAUUACGGUACUACAAAAACAACUUUUCUGAUGGAUUUAGACAAGUAAGUCUGUAUUUGAU
rnacentral:lncRNA from 1 species